GAUGAAGAACGUAGCGAAAUGCGAUAAGUAGUGUGAAUUGCAGAAUUCAGUGAAUCAUCGAAUCUUUGAACGCACAUUGCGCCCCAUGGUAUUCCGUGGGGCAUGCCUGUUCGAGCGUCAUUUACCCCCUCAAGCUCCGCUUGGUGUUGGGCGUCUGUCCCGCUUCGCGCGCGGACUCGCCCCAAAGGUAUUGGCAGCGGUCGUGCCAGCUUCUCGCGCAGCACAUUGCGCUUCUCGAGGCACCGGCGGGCCCGCGUCCAUCAAGCUCACCCCCCAGUUUGACCUCGGAUCAGGUAGGGAUACCCGCUGAACUUAAGCAUAUCAAUAAGCGGAUGA
rnacentral:misc_RNA from 1 species